CUAAUGCGAUAAGAGAACAGCGGGGGAAGCGAGCACCGUAUGCGAAUGGCGCCUUCUCUGGACUUCCUUUCCAACUUCAAUCUCAGCUUCAAGGAGAAGACCUAAUCCCAAGUUUCUUUUGGUGGAGUUGGAGAAAGGAGGAGGCCACUGAUUGCUUGCUCAUGACGGCGAAGAGUACAGGCUUCGAAGCAGAAGAAGCUUCAGCUUCGAAGUUCUUGUUGGCCAUGUUUGGAUUAUGGGCCCAUAACUAUGAAGAGAUUAGCUGCACCGAUAUAAAAGAUGUCAUUGAGCUGCCUGCCCUUUAACACUAACGGAGACACUGGAGAUGGCGACUUCAUUGGAACACAGGUAGAAGUGAGGCUUUCGUGAAAGCAUUGAGCUGAGUGGAGAUGCCAUUACACUUCUGUCGUUGUUUAUUUUACAUCUUAAUGUCCCCACGGAAGUUCCAAUAAUGACUACAAAGCUUGGUGAGAGAUGGGUGCUGCAUUAAUCUUGAUUUACUGUUGUGCUUUCUUAGUGGAAUAUUUGGCUGGAGGAGUUCCAACGUAACUUGCCGGCCCUUUUUGUAGUGGAGGAUGUUCAAGGAGAAGUGCUUUCAGAACCACUUGUACUUUGCAAGUAGAUUGUUGUUUCGGUGGAAUAUCACUAUUUAGAGGACAAUGGGAAAUUUAGUUCCUGUGAAAGAUCAAGCAUUUCCCUGUUGCUUUCUACUAUAUAGUGAUGCAAGCCUUUAUGCUGACUGAUAUUUCCUUGUGGUAAAGUUGUGCUAUUGGAUGUAUGAGUCAGACAGUCUGAUCUAUAGAUAACAGACAGGGCUUCUCUUCCACAAUUGAUUUCAACUCAUGCAUGCAGGAGAUAUGAAUGUGGCCAGUUUAGGAUCUUGUCUGAGACACACUCGAUCAUAUUCAUUCAGGAGUCUUCUUGGUGUCCCACCAGGUGAUAUAAUGUACAAAUCAUGUUAAGAAGUCAACUCAGGCUACAGGCUUUCUUUAUGGUGUAUAAGCAUAGGAUUUAUUGGCCUCUCAUUAUCCCUGUGUCGUUGGACUAAUUACAUCAGUUGAUAGUAUAGACCUCAAAUUUCUCAUUUGCUAUAGUACCUGAUACUCUAUGGUUUUCUUUUACCUGCUAAUAAUUCAUAAAUUGUCGUUCAUUAAAAAUAUUCCUUUGAUGCACAGAUGAAUGCUUAUGAUGUCUUCUGACCUCUAUAAUUAUGCAGAUCUCUCUCCCUUUCUUAGUUUGGAAGUCCAUAUACUGAAAUGUUCCUUUGCUGACAAAGUGAGAUUUACUACAGUGAUCUGACCUAAAUCUCUGUUACAAUGGGACCACAUUACAACAUAACAUGUGGUUUCGGGCUAAAGAGGCAAAGUGGUUCUAAAAGCUGAUCCUUUUGAGUUCUAACUUCUUAAUGGAUGUCGAAAGAGGAAGAUGUGGCCACCUCCAUUAGAAAGUUUUGGUGCCAUGGUGGUUUAUGCCAUCAGCAAGCUACAGGGAAAAAAGGUUUAUGGUAAGGAGAUGCCUGCUAUCUUUCAGAUGAAGAUCAAUACUUAUUCUGUUUGGUUUCAGUUCCUCCAAGUAUUUGGUGUGGUCCUUGUUAUAUAUGGGAGAAUAUGGUAGGAGUUGGUUGUCAGCAAGUGACUGGAGAACAGAUAGGAAGCAUUGCUUUCAGAUUUUAGCUCUCCUGAAUCUUGUCCCAAUCAAAACUCCUGUAGCUGAAGCCUUCAUGUGCAGGUGUGCUGGUCAUGGGCAAGAAAUGAAGAAGGACCUGACCCGGGAUUUCGAGGUUCUGCAAUCUAGUAUGCUUUAUCUGCACCCAAUACUCUUUUGAGUUCAGAAUGGAUUGUCAAUUUCCAGACACUUGAACUUGAGCAAACUUGACUAUUUAUCUGUUGUCUUUGACACCGAAAGGCUGUGAUUCCAGUGGGCACGGAAUAGGGUUCCAGAAAGCAAGCCAGUUUUCUCCAACCCAACAAAACCACAAUGAUGAUGCCAACUUGCAAGAUAUUGGGGUUGCUGGACCACCUGAUCCCAGUUAGAGAUAAGUACAGAUCUAAAGAAUCUCAAAGAUAGAUCAUAUGAUGAUCUUGUUGUUCCCUGCAUCGUGUCAUGUGAAAAGAACAAGCUAAACCAUUUGCACAGAAACAUUCUUGACAUUGAAUUAUUGGCAUGCAGGAUAUAUGGUCAGGAAUGCAUUACCUAAAGAUCUCCACUAGUCAACUGUUCAGUUCUGCUGACAAGUCUAUUUCUCAUUGGUGGAUUUGCAAGUAGCAAAAAUGUGACAGACAAGUUCCAUCCUUGCUUCCAACUACACAGAUGAUUGCUGUUAAAGACCAGGAGGACUAUUGGUGCUCAUGGGAGCAACUGGCAAGCACAAUGUGGUAGUGUAGACCAGCACCUAGACUAAGACAACUAAACCUCAUCUGUGGAACAUAAUUUCUUCUCAAACUUCCAAGUUGCUCCAACACAAAAAUGACACCUUUGGAAAGCUGCACCAAUGGAUUUUGUUGGGGGAUGUGGCAUUGAAACUCAAUUCGGAGGAUUUUCUAAAGCAAAUGCAUACUGCCAAAUAAAAAUGAGUGGUUCUUUUGUUAACCUAAUCUAAGAAACAAAAGAUGCUGGUGUCAGAAAAGCAAGGAGAUGCCAUUCGAGUGGAGUUAAUUGAAUCCAAACAAAAGAGGGGACUGAGGAGACAAAUAAGAGUUAAAUAUCUGAAGGAAAAAGGAUGUUUUUUCUCACAGAAAAGGAAAUAAAAGGGAAGAAAACAGAGACGCAGCAGAUCGAUAGGAGAAUGCUAAUUACCAUGGCUGUACCAUGUACACUACUUGUACAUGAAAAGAUAUGUUAUCCUUUGCAGUUGUAUCCUAUUGUGGAUAAAAAGGAGAAAAAAGCAAAAUGAUUCCAGACAAGUUACUAUUUAGUCAAUGAGAUGUCGAACCGGAUGAUAAGACCAUCUUACUCCUUUAUUCGGUGAUACAAUGACAUUCACAUCAAGAAUACUAAUCUUAGUAUAUAGAAUUAAAUUACAAAUAUGUAUCAAUCUAUCAAAGAAACAGAUGAUAUCAGAAUCAAAGACAACGUAUUGGUCAGGAAUAACAAGAAUGGGAUGUUAAAUGUGAAUCGCAAAGCUGAAAGCCCUGGAAAGAUGCCAACAAUAGAACAACAAGAACAAGUAAAAUUUGGCAAGCAGCAAGGAUGGUAAUCCCAGAAUUGGCAUCAAAGUCUUACUCUACUAGAAUAUAUGUCAUAGUUAUUCAGGGAACAAACCAGCAUUUAGUGAGCAAAACAAUCAGUAAUGUUUAUUCUAAUUUUCUGUAUGAUGCCAACAAGACAAGGAUCAAAGACUUAUAUGGUUCAGACUCAAUUUUGAUCAAUUUGCUCUUUAGACUAUAGAUUUUGUGAUUUGUUUUCCUCAUUUGAGCAGGGAGAAUAAGAGAAUCCAAGAUGAAGCUCUCACCUGAACAGACCGAGUAAUAUCUCCAUGAUUUGUCUGAAUUUUGAUCCAGCUAAAUUUGACCAGUGAAUGAUCAGGUUUCUAGGAUAAUUGCAGAAAGAAGGAAGCUGAUAUCUUGUUUUAUGUUGCCACACAGUCUCAGGCAAAUAGCAGACAUUGACUCAGAUUCCUUGUGUUGUGUAAACAAAGCCCUAACACCAGAUAUUUUGGAAUAGGAGAAUGCAGCUGUGAGUUCUUUACAAAAUACUUGAUGGAGAAGAUGAAUCUACUGUAUUCACAAAGCAGUUCCCAGAUGGUAACACGGAGAUGAUCAUUAACAAGAAGGAUGACAACAGGAAAAGAUAUAAUCACAGUUGCAGGCAAAUUCAAGCUUCAAACUUGGAAAGUUGAUAUUUUUCAUGCUCAUUUGACAAACUGAAAGAGUGCAAUUCCUUGCUAAGAUCUUAAGUAUAACUCAAGCUAAAUGGUCAACCAGUAAUCUAUGAUGUCAUGAUGUCUCACUUUGAUCAUUCACUGUUGGACAUUCUUUCCUGCAUCCUUUCAACAGGACUGGUCGAUUGAAGGUUGUGGAGGACAUCCGAAAACUAAUCCUUCGUAUUUCUGAAAGUAUUUUCUGCAAUUAAUUGCGGGGGACAUGCUUUAUAUUUCAAGUUGAGUCUACGUUUUAUGGGAGUUUGAAGCAUAGUUUUAAGCCUCCUCUCAACAUUUAUACAACAAUCACAAACAAGACGCAAACAAAUGCAAUCUUUGUAAUGGAGUAUUCUUUUCAGAUUCAUCUCCAAGAUACUGCAACUGAGUGGCCAAAUUAAAUUGUGUUGGGUGAUUACUCUGAGAGACACAAACAUAAGUUCAGUGGCAUGCUCCUUGAGACAAGAUUACAGUAUGUUUUACACACUGUUUUACCUAGAUUGAGCACAUAGUGGAAAAAGCCAUGUGUGCGGCCUUACACUACAACAGGAGAGACCAUUGAUAUCAUUUUAUCUGAUAUAUGACAUAGUUUGCUACUUUGCUUGUAGUA